GAUGAUGAGGAGAAGAGAGGAAGGAGACGACGGAUACGUUGCCAAUUCGGAAGAAGAAUUUAUCCUGCCCACACGGCUAAGCUCUGGAUCAAGCAAGCGUGAGAACAAAAAUAUGGACGAGAGCCCAGAUCCUCCACUUGAACGACAAGAGCCAUGUACUUGUCAAUGUUGCCUGCUCUGACACAUUCACGAAUGCAGCCAGAAGAGGUGUCGAGCACCGCAAACUGGUGUGGAUGCAGAAGUGGUCGAAGGCCAGCUUGAUGUAGCCGCCGCGGUGGAGCAAGA
rnacentral:lncRNA from 1 species